rnacentral:rRNA from 1 species
GACGAACGCUGACGGCGUGCUUAACACAUGCAAGUCGAACGGUGAAGCGCCUGCCUUUUUGGUGGGUGUGGAUGAGUGGCGAACGGGUGAGUAACACGUGAGUAACCUGCCCCCUUCUUCUGGAUAACCGCAUGAAAGUGUGGCUAAUACGGGAUAUUCUGGGUCUGUCGCAUGAUGGGUCUGGGAAAGAUAUUGUUUCGGUGGGGGAUGGUCUCGCGGCCUAUCAGCUUGUUGGUGGGGUGAUGGCCUACCAAGGCGGUGACGGGUAGCCGGCCUGAGAGGGUGGACGGUCACACUGGGACUGAGACACGGCACAGACUCCUACGGGAGGCAGCAGUGGGGAAUAUUGCACAAUGGGCGCAAGCCUGAUGCAGCGACGCCGCGUGAGGGAUGGAGGCCUGCGGGUUGUGAACCUCUUUCGCCAGUGAAGCAGGCCUGCCUCGUUUGUGGGUGGGUUGACGGUAGCUGGAUAAGAAGCGCCGGCUAACUACGUG